GGUGGUUUGGCGUGAAGUGAACUCUAAAAGUGUUAGCCUUAGGAGUUAUCCACCCGCGCCUCUCAUACUGAGGUAAGAUAUAACGGGUUUACCAUGCCCCUCUAAUAGGCUGGUCCACGAAAACCCGCCCACUGUAGUAAGCUCAUCAUUAUCCCACCAAUCAAUAAAAUUCAAUAACAUGAUAUGUCAAUUAUUGUAAUUCACAGCCUUUCAAGGCUAAAUACACAGUUCAUAUAUUUCAACACAAAUACCAAUUCAGCCAUUCAUGCAAAUAUUGUCAUAAGCCAGUCAAUUCAAACCAUGAAUUUACAACACUUCAAGUGGUCUCCAGUUACUCUAUUUUCAAAAUCAUCAUUCAAUUUCAAGACAAUUUAUAAAAUCAUUUUAUUUAAACACAUUUUGUUUAUAAAACAAAAAGAUUUACCAUUUAAACUCAUUUUCCAUAAAAUUCACAAAAUCGAAUAAAAACCACUCUAGAUAAUUAAGACGAUAGUAAGGUUACUCACUAUACUAGGAGUUCGAUAUACUCCUAUUCUCGGUCUUCGGGUACAAUCUCUUUACCUUUGUUAGAGGGCUCACCACCUAUACAUUAUACGUGACAUGAAUUUCAAUAAAUUGUGUCAAUUUAUCAUAAACUAUUUCAAGCUCUCUAAAUCUAAAUGAAUGCAUGCGAUGGGAUGCAAAAUGUCUGAUUAAUCACUUAAAUGUGAUAUUUGACCUAAGUCACACUAUACUCGGUCUAAUCGGCUAAAAUCUCCAAUUUAACUCCAAAUCAAUUCUUCUCACUUUCUACACUCCAAUUAUACCUAAAUUACCUUAGUGAUUGUGAAUGAGAUUCAAUUUAUCAGUCUCGGGUCAAUAAUCACACAUGUCUAUACAGUAAGCAAAAAUUCAGAUUUUCACACCAAAAUUUCCUAUUUAAUUUCUAGCCUCACCAAACAUCAAAUAUCACCAAAAUAUCAUCAAAUAUCAUCAAUUUCAGUCACAAUAUUCUCCCUAGAAAAUUCGACCAAUGAUGGGUAAUGGGAGAAAAUGAAUUUUUCUUGUUGGUUUGUUUCUAGACAUGAUAAACUAACUAAAAACACUAACAUAACUUACAAUCAAAUCAAUCCAACUUCAUUCUCUCUCCAUACCCAUUCCAACCAGCCAUGAAUUCACCAUGAAAACAUGAAAUCUAACCAUGGAAAAUGAAAAAGAAAGCAUGGGUAGUGUAAAUCAUAAGUCAAAAUCAAGAAAUUUUACCUUUAUUAGCUUAAUCCCUUGAAAUCCCACACUUUUUCUUCAAUUUUCCCACCUAGGGUUCUUGUUUUUUUUCCUUUUCUCCUUUGUUCUUCUUUGGCCGGCCAUAUCAAUGAGAAAUGGGCUGAUUUUGUAUUAAUUUUAAAGCUAAAAAUUUAAUGGUUAUAAUUAUGCCAUGUGUCACCAUUUCAUUGAUCCAUUUUUAUUUCUUAACUAUUAAGCUUUCUCUCUCCACCAUAUAAAUUUCUUCAAUUAUCCAUGAUAAAAUUGGAUAAAAUCCAUAUGUUGGACAAGUGUUCUGGUGGUGGAAAAUUACUGUUUUGCCCUUAGGGUGGUAAAAUUACCAUUUUACCCCUAUACUCCCCGAAAAAUACCGAAAUUAUAAUUUUUCACUUCUCAACCUCAAAUCACACUCCAAUAAGUCAAAUAUGAUCAAAAUCUUUGAAAAAAAAUUUCCCAUUUUGUCCUCGAGUGGCAAAAUUACCAUUUUGCCCCUAGAUAGUGAAAUUUUCGGCUUGACUCUAAAUGAUCAUAUUAAACCAUUCUGGGACUUUAAAAUUCUUAAUUUUCUCUUAAGUUCUCUAUUUGAUCUAGUUCAAGGUUUAAAUCAAUUUUUUUGUACUUCUAGGUAUAGUACUGACUUUUGUCGAUUUUUCGGGGCUCUCCUAGUAUGUAAACAUUCAAUCACAUGCAUGUCAUGACAAGUAUUUUACAAAGUCAGGCUUGACAUCUUUUCCCCCACUUGGAUCAACCAUAUGAUCCUUUUUCAUGACUGAUUUCGACAUCUGGCUAAAUAUUAAUAUUUUAAUAUUAUUUCAUUAAUAAAAUAUUAUUUUAUUCUAAAAAUUUUAUCUUGUCUCUUUGGUUCCUAAAGUUCCUUAUUAUGCCUUAAUUUGCAUCCGACCAACUUAUUUAUCACCAUAUCAAAGUAUGGGGCAUUUCAAUCUCCCCCACUUAAAUAGAAUUUGUCCUCGAAUUCACGUCCAUGUUACGUUAUCAAUCUCCUUCUAUGAUCCUAUUCCUUUUUCCUUCUAUAGGGACAUUCAAUUUAUUUACCUCGUUCACCUUCAAUUCAAUUAAAUGCUCUAUUUAUGGCAAUUAUCAUCCUUUGAAGCCAGAUCAACAGUACCUUUCACAAUCAUGAUUUCUUAUAUUGAGUCACUAAGCAUACCUUUAUCACCCUUAUUAAAUUUGAAUCAUAACUUCAUCUCAAUUAUACCGAUUUCGAUCACAUAUCAUUCUUACUUAUGUAUACCUAAUCAUCAUUUUGUUAAUUUGCUCCAUGCCAAAUUUCUCAACCUUAAUUCAUUCAUCUUAUACUGGUCCAUACCUUUCCUUUAAUAGAGUUCCAUUAAGAACUUAAACAAUUCAAGGUUUACCUUUAAAGUCACUCAUAACUUUAAUCGUUUAUUGCAUGCUCGAUAACACUUUAGCUCACUGACCUCUCUGGACAUUAUUUCAAAAUCUCCCAAUUACUGAGAACAAUUCUUCACCUUAGUUAGUCAAAUUAUCAAUUUCAUAUAUACAUAUAUACAUGUAUUUUCAAAUGUCAACAUCUCUCAUUAUGUAUAGGGAUCCAUGUGUUCACAUGCCUUGGACUACAUUCCCCUUUAUUCAUCCACAUCCCAAUCCUAGUUUCAAUAAAAUAAUUAUUAUAGUGCAUGUCAACCUUCUUAUUAUACUUGCUUAUAACUUCAUAUCAUUUAUAUCAUUUCCAACCAUAUGCUUGAGUUUUAUCAUGCUAUAUCCUCACAUCACAAUGUCAUUAAUCACAUCUCACCUAAUAAAUGUCACUUAAAAACUUAGACUGUUUUGAAUCAUGCAUGCCUUAUGCAUUUUCAAAUUCCAAUUUUCAUACUACCUUAGGAAAUUUUCAUUAUCAAGCUUCAUUAUCGAAAUUAUCUUCAUUCAUCCUUUAUUCUGUUCUUCCAUACUAAUGUGAUAUCAUUCUCCCUAGACCAAUUUGCAGUUUGUACUUAAAACUGUAAUACUUGAAAUAAGGUUCUUCUAAGUACUUUUCAAUAUCAAUACAAAUUUCACUUCCAACUUACGGCUUCCUCUUUACAGCCACAUAAUUUAAUGCUAGCUUCCACAAAAUCCGUAGCAAAACUCUUCUGGAGUAUUUCCUUGGGAAUAUCUACCUUAGACUUAUGUCUCACAGUAUAUGAUCACUUAACUUGUGACUUAGCCAUUUGGCUCCUUUGUAAAUUUCAAAAUCACACAUCUCAUACUAAUCUUGUACAAUUUCAUAAUUCUUCAUCAAAGAUGUUUAAAUAUUCUUGAAACACUUAAUCACUUAUUUACUCUUUCAUACUCUAAGUAUAUCAUUUCCAUAAAGGCAUGCCCAACUACUCAUGCUUCAACUUAUCUCCAAGGGUUUCUAUCAUACCCUGUAAUUUACUUGUGUUGUCACUAAUCCUUUCCUUUCAACAAAGUCAAGACAAUAUUAGUACAUUCUCAUAACAAUAUUCUAUAUAAACUCAUUUGCUAUAUCAUUCUUGAAAUCUCCAUUCACACUCUCAUCACUUCGUAUUGACAUCUCUUAUCAACAUCUCAAUAUUCAUCUAACCUUUCCCUAACUUCCUUUUUAACCUUUUACAAGAUUCACUUUAUUUCUGAAGAUUUGACUUUAGUCAACAUAUUAUUCCUUUUAACACUCCACAUGUUAAUUUAUUUUUUUAUGUAGCCAUCUCAAAAACUCUCUAACUUUUCUUUCUCUUACGUGCCCAUAUAUAAGGCAAUAAAGAAACUCUGCAAUUUCACUCAUUAUCUUUAUCUUAAUACCUCCCCAAUGCACUUAAGACUCCAACAACAAAGCUUAGCAUCAAAACCAAUAACCAUAUUUCAACUCGUGAGUUUCAUCUUUAUGCCGCUUACAGUUUACUCUUACUUUCUAACCAUUAGGGGUUCUUAACGCGACAGAGUUUGAUGGUCAGUACUGUGGCGUUGCAACUGUUUGUAUUCACAUUAUCCCAGCAACUCUUCCACCUUUAAAGCUACUACCUCAAUUAUUCACAAUCGUGUGGCUUCCCUCUGAGUCUAUACCACAAUUAGCAAGACUAACUUUCUAUCACAAAUCUGCAGUCAGAACACUGAUUUACGUAUUUAUUUUGCCACUAACAUUCAUAUAUCUUUACCAUAACAUUUAGUACGAGCUUACUCAAGCAAAAAUCUCCAAAUUUAUUCAUAGUUACAUGUAUCUCAAAUUGCCCAUCACUUAUCUUCAGUCAAUAAAUCUCACUUUAGAACACUCUUUCCAUAUUGUAUAGUAACUUCACCAUAUAGUAUCACGGCACUAUAUUCCUCCAUUCUACUAUCAUGCAUACUCCACAGAAUUUAAUUAGAAGAUUUACGUACCUUAACUAAUGCCAAUUCCAUUUAAUCAUAUCUUAAAUACUCCAAACUUGUAAAUUACAACUCCAAGUGUAUGUCCAUAUAUUAAUAAUCUUUAUAUAUUUCAUGAUCAUGAAAACUACAACUUACAAACUAGCUUUCGAUCAUAUGCACACUAUUAGAACAUUAGUUUCAACAUGUUUAAUUCUCCUUUGGUGAUAUGUUAAGAUCAUUCCUGGAUACAUUUCCAUAUUAACAUUGAUAUGCCUUUACCAUAGCAUUUAGUGCAAAUUUGAUGAAGGAAUUGUCUCUAAAUAACUCUUAAAUACAUAAUUAUCAAAUUGUACACCACUAAAUGUUAAGAUCUUGACUUUAUCCAUCAAUAACCAAUUACAUUUGUUAAGCGAAAAAUUUACUUAGUUAUUACACCUUACCUUUGCGAUCAUAAGAUCAAAGUUGUCUUAAACUUAGGAUGCAAAAGUUCUCUCUCUUAGAGUAUAUCCAAGCAUCAACAUUUUCUAAAUUCCUUACUCUGGGGAAAUCACCUUCAAGACUGAUCAUUCGUAUCAUAGGCCACACUUUGAAUCGAAUAAACUUUUAAAUUGAUCUUUCAAGUAGUUCGUAAUCAGUCUCAAUUAUAGAACUUCAUAUGGCACUUAGAAUAGAUUCGACAUUUCCAAGUCAUUUAACCUCAAGCUGCCAAUUCCACAUUUAGUCUUUUAAUCCCUUGGCUCUCUCUUUUUCUAUGCAUAGCUAAGUUCAAUCUCAUCCUUAAAGCAGAUUUGUUUACUAACUUCUUACUUUAUGACCACACAUCAAUUAUAGUAAUCAUUGAUACUCACUCUCGAGUUAAUUCACGUGCUUAUAUCCAUGAAUUAUAAUAAGUCCAAUCAAUUCUUGAAAUCUCAUAGUCCCUAAAUCUUUUUCCAAUUGACAACCAUGAGUUUAAUUAUAACUCCACCAAAUGAAUAAAUUAUCACGGCCUAUUAGUCCAACUCCAAAUUUCUCCAUCCUUAAUCGGAGGGAUAUAUCAUUUCAUUAAUCUUUCAUUAAGAGCAUUCGUUUUAAGAUUUCUCUAACACUAGCUUGUGUCGUGGGUAGCAUCUUAAACCCGGACAACUGCCCUACUUAUGACCUUUGCAUGACAUUAACAAAGAAGUGGAUUACUGGGAACAGGAGUUCAUAUAGCUUCUUGUCUAUGACUUAUGCUCCCAUAAGAUCUACAAGAAGAAAUAAAACGAGUCUAAACAACUCCAAAUUCUAUAUGCAGAUGCACAUAUUCUAUUCUAUCAAACCUAACUUAACUUAACUUAACUCGGGCCACACUGACACUGUAGUUUUUAAAAUAACUUUAAAACCAAAAACUUUUAUCUUUCAAACCAAAAGCUUUGAUACCAAUAAGAUUAUCACGACCCGGUACUCCCCUUAAGCCCGUGACAACAGUUACGACGUCCCAGUAGACAUUCGUUACCCGGAGUGCCAACAGGAAUCCCGCAAGGCUUUAAUACCAUUUUUCUCAUCUCCCCUAUGAGUAAUCAUCGCCAAACCUCGUUUUUAAAGAAUUUUAAGCUUUUUCCCUUUCAAAACCGUGAAAAAAUAAUUUUCGCCUCACAGAAACAUUUUCGUCAUUUUUCCUCAAAAUUUUUCGAACUCGACAAAAAAAGUAGUAGAUGAGUGGAAAACAUAUAUUUCAUGAUUUAAAAUAAAUUUGACAGUCUAAAACAUUUACUAAAAAUAAUAUUACAACUAUUUGAAUAAAAUAAAAAUAUUCAAUAAAAUAUUCUAAUUUCUUGUAAAACAAUAUUUAUAGAGUCAUCGGUAAUUAAUUUUUUUUGUAAUGUAAAAGCUAAAAAAAUUCAUACGUACUACAAUACAGAUAACCGGGAUAUGAAAUUUACUUUACAGUGACUCGUGGGCCCACAAGGAACAAAAGUGCACAAAGGUAGUAAACCUACAGUUUUUGGAGUAGUAAAGCCGACUAUAGCCUUCGACGAUAUUACCUAUCUACACACUAUCCUGAGCCUGAAAUGGGUGGAAAUGAGGGUGGUGAGAUUAUAUAAUCCCAGUGAGUAAACAAAUACCAUCUAAAAUAUCUAAAGCCGAGUAAAUAGAUACAAUUAAAAUAAAUCAUCAUACUAUAAUUUCAUUACCUUUCAACUUAUUUCAACCAAAUAAACAACUAGGCUUAUGAUUUCCUGAAAGCUUGGCUCGUGCCAAAAAUCAUUCUCAUACUCAGUUAUCAGGGAUGCCUUGAUCGAGGGCUAUAUCAAUCGAGUCCGUCAAGGUUGUUAAAAAGUCAUGUACGCAUAAAUUAUGUUUUUAUUUUGAAAACAUAACCGUUCCUUGGCGUUGGCUGAGUUCACCCUCACGUGGUGGUUUGGCGCAAAGUGAAUUCUAAAAGUGUUAGCCUCAGGAGUUUUCCACCUGCGCCUCUCAUAUUGAGGUAAGAUAUAACAGGGUUUACCGUGCCCCUCUAAUAGGCUGGUCCACGAAAACCCGCCCACUGCAGUAAGCUCAUCAUUAUCCCACCAAUCACUAAAAUUCAAUAACAUGAUAUGGCAAUUAUUGUAAUUCACAGCCUUUCAAGGCUAAAUACACAGUUCAUAUAUUUCAACACAAAUACCAAUUCAGCCAUUCAUACAAAUAUUGUCAUAAGCCAGUCAAUUCAAACCAUGAAUUUACAACACCUUAAGUGGUCUCCAGUUACUCUAUUUUCAAAGUCAUCAUUCAAUUUCAAGACAAUUUAUAAAAUCAUUUUAUUUAAACACGUUUUGUUUGUAAAUAGAAAGAUUUACCAUUUAAACUCAUUUUCCAUAAAAUCCACAAAAUCGAAUAAAAAUCACUCUAGAUAAUUAAGACGAUAGUAAGGUUACUCACUGUACUAGGAGUUCGAUAUACUCCUAUUCCCAGUCUUCGGGCACAAUCUCUUUACCUUUAUUAGAGGGCUCACCACUUAUACAUCAUACGUGACAUGAAUUUCAAUAAAUUGUGUCAAUUUAUCAUAAACUAUUUCAGGCUCUCUAAAUCUAAAUGAAUGCAUGCGAUGGGAUGCAAAAUGUCCGAUUAAUCACGUAAAUGUGAUAUUCGACCUAAGUCACACUAUACUCGGUCUAAUCGGUUAAAAUCUCCAAUUUAAUUCCAAAUCAAUUCUUCUCACUUUCUACACUCCAAUUAUACCUAAAUUACCUCAGUGACUGUGAAUGAGAUUCAAUUUAUCAGUCCCGGUUCAAUAAUCACACAUGUCUAUACAUUAAGCAAAAAUUCAGAUUUUCACACCAAAGUUUCCCAUUUAAUUUCUAGCCUCACCAAACAUCAAAUAUCACCAAAAUAUCAUGAAAUAUCAUCAAUUUCAACCACAAUAUCCUCCCUAGAAAAUUUGGCCAAUGAUUGGUAAUGGGAGAAAAUGAAUUUUUCUUGUUGGUUUGUUUCUAGACAUGAUAAACUAACUAAAAACACUAACAUAACUUAGAAUCAAAUCAAUCCAACUUCAUUCUCUCUCCAUACCCAUUCCAACCAGCCAUGAAUUCACCAUGAAAACAUGAAAUCUAACCAUGGAAAAUGAAAAAGAAAGCAUGGGUACUGUAAAUCACAAGUCAAAAUAAAAAAAAUUUACCUUUAUUAGCUUAAUCCCUUGAAAUCCCACACUUUUUCUUCAAUUUUCCCACCUAGGGUUCUUGUUUUUUUCCUUUCCUCCUUUGUUCUUCUUUGGCCGGC
rnacentral:lncRNA from 1 species